rnacentral:rRNA from 1 species
UACGUAGGCAGCAAGCGUUGUUCGGAAUUACUGGGCGUAAAGGGCUCGUAGGCGGCCAACUAAGUCCGACGUGAAAUCCCCAGGCUUAACCUGGGAACUGCGUCGGAUACUGGAUGGCUUGAAUCCGGGAGAGGGAUGCGGAAUUCCAGGUGUAGCGGUGAAAUGCGUAGAUAUCUGGAGGAACACCGGUGGCGAAGGCGGCAUCCUGGACCGGCAUUGACGCUGAGGAGCGAAAGCCAGGGGAGCAAACGGG